rnacentral:rRNA from 1 species
GAUGAACGCUAGCGGGAGGCCUAACACAUGCAAGCCGAGCGGUAUUGUUUCUUCGGACAUGAGAGAGCGGCGUACGGGUGCGUAACACGUGUGCAACCUGCCUUUAUCUGGGGGAUAGCCUUUCGAAAGGAAGAUUAAUACUCCAUAAUAUAUUGAACGGCAUCGUUUAAUAUUGAAAGCUCCGGCGGAUAGAGAUGGGCACGCGCAAGAUUAGCUAGUUGGUGAGGUAACGGCUCACCAAGGCGAUGAUCUUUAGGGGGCCGAGAGGGUGAUCCCCCACACUGGUACUGAGACACGGACCAGACUCCUACGGGAGGCAGCAGUGAGGAAUAUUGGUCAAUGGGUGCAAGCCUGAACCAGCCAUCCCGCGUGAAGGACGACUGCCCUAUGGGUUGUAAACUUCUUUUGUAUAGGGAUAAACCUACCCUCGAGAGGGUAGCUGAAGGUACUAUACGAAUAAGCACCGGCUAACUCCGUG